rnacentral:rRNA from 1 species
UACAGAGGGGGCAAGCGUUGUUCGGAAUUACUGGGCGUAAAGGGCGCGUAGGCGGCCUUCUAAGUCGAACGUGAAAUCCCUGGGCUCAACCCAGGAACUGCGUCCGAUACUGGAAGGCUUGAAUCCGGGAGAGGGAUGCGGAAUUCCAGGUGUAGCGGUGAAAUGCGUAGAUAUCAGGAGGAACACCGGUGGCGAAGGCGGAUCUCUGGGCCUGUCCUGACGCUCGAGGCGCGAAAGCUAGGGGAGCAAACAGG